AUUGAACGCUGGCGGCAGGCCUAACACAUGCAAGUCGAGCGGGGUUUUCGGACCUAGCGGCGGACGGGUGAGUAAUGCGUAGGAAGCUACCCGAUAGAGGGGGAUACCAGUUGGAAACGACUGUUAAUACCGCAUAAUGUCUACGGACCAAAGUGUGGGACCUUCGGGCCACAUGCUAUCGGAUGCGCCUACGUGGGAUUAGCUAGUUGGUGAGGUAAUGGCUCACCAAGGCGACGAUCCCUAGCUGGUUUGAGAGGAUGAUCAGCCACACUGUAACUGAGACACGGUCCAUACUCCUACGGGAGGCAGCAGUCGAGAAGUGUGGACAAUGGGCGCGAGCCUGAUCCAGCCAUGCCGCGUGUGUGAAGAAGGCCUUCGUGUUGUAAAGCUCUUUCAGUAGGGAGGAAGCGUUGUGUGUUAAUAGUACACAGCGUUGACGUUACCUACAGAAGAAGCACCGGCUAACUCUGUGCCAGCCGCCGCAGUAAAAC
rnacentral:rRNA from 1 species